AACCUCCGCAAUGUGAGAAAUCGCGACGGGGGGAUCCCAAGUGCCAUUCUUAACGGGAUGGCUUUUCAUUAGUGUAAAGAGCUUUUGGAAUAAGGGCUGGGCAAGACCGGUGCCAGCCGCCGCGGUAACACCGGCAGCUCUAGGGGUAGCAGUUUUUAUUGGGCCUAAAGCGUCCGUAGCCGGUUUAAUAAGUCUCUGGUGAAAUCCUGUAGCUUAACUGUGGGAAUUGCUGGAGAUACUAUUAGACUUGAGACCGGGAGAGGUUAGAGGUACUCCCAGGGUAGAGGUGAAAUUCUGUAAUCCUGGGAGGACCGCCUGUUGCGAAGGCGUCUAACUGGAACGGUUCUGACGGUGAGGGACGAAAGUUAGGGGCGCGAACCGGAUUAGAUACCCGGGUAGUCCUAACUGUAAACGAUGCGGACUUGGUGUUGGGUGGCUUUGAGCUGCUCCAGUGCCGAAGGGAAGCUGUUAAGUCCGCCGCCUGGGAAGUACGGUCGCAAGACUGAAACUUAAAGGAAUU
rnacentral:rRNA from 1 species